rnacentral:rRNA from 1 species
UACGGAGGGUGCUAGCGUUGUUCGGAAUCACUGGGCGUAAAGGGCGUGUAGGCGGUCUGUUAAGUCUGAUGUGAAAUCCCCUCGCUCAACGAGGGAACUGCGUCGGAUACUGGCAGACUCGAGUACCGGAGAGGAAGGUGGAAUUCCCGGUGUAGCGGUGAAAUGCGUAGAUAUCUGGAGGAAUACCGGUGGCGAAGGCGGCAUCCUGGACCGGCAUUGACGCCGAGGAGCGAAAGCCAGGGGAGCAGACGGG